GCAUGCCCUGGCACACGGGGGGGAAGGUGGCACCCCGCGCUGGGAGCUGGCCGCAGCCAAUCCUCCGCUGUCUCCCCUUUUCCCUCGCCCCGAGGCUUGCCGGAGCGCAGGGCAGCCGAGGAGGUGCCCGGCACAGAAGUGCUGAAUGAUCCCAGAUGGAAUAAAUUCAAUUGGUGCUACACAUGUGAAGUGCUCUGAAUGAGGAACGCAGCAAUUCUUGAAAUAUUCACUUGAACCCUUCACUGUCUCAAACUCAGGAACCAGAAUCUAAAGAACCUUCAACUGCAGGAGAAUGAACAAUGGUCCAUUGAGUAACCACGAAGAACAGAGAGAACAGAGCAGAACAUUUCAGCAAGUUGGGAUUUUUCCAGCCAGCCAGACCUGGCAGAAUGCAGCUGAGGGGACGUGGAGGACUGGCUGGAUCCUAGAGGAACCCACAAGGAAUCCCUUCCCACACCUGGAAAGGGGAAGAGCAGGGACAGGUGCUGCAGUCACCUGGAUAAAUAACCCAGCUUGGGGAAUGUCAGAGGAGAAAACAGCCCAGCUUGAAUUCCUGGAAAUUUCUGGAAACAAAUAAUGAAACAAAGUUUUCUUUUAUGCAUGGGAAAUAAUGAAAUGAUAAGUGGAGGCCAAGAAUGAUUUGCCAGGAACAAAUCCUGCCCAGCCAGGCUCAUUUCCUCCCCUGACAAGUAGCAGCUCUUAUGGACAAUAGAUAUUGCAUAUCUUGACUGGAGCGAGGCUUUCAGCGCUGCCUCCGCUCGGGGAACUAAAAUGAAACCAUUGUAAGGUGGACUCAGCUGUUUGAAACAUCAAAAACCCUCCAAGAUGGAUUGUUGUUGGUGUGGAAACAUUAUGGAAAGUGUUUUUGCAGGUGCCCUGCCUGGGGUUUGUGCCAUUCCCUGUUUUCCUUGUGUUUUGGAGGAUGAAGGAUUGAGUGGGAAAGUUCUUCUAGGAUUAACAUCCUGAUCCUUGAAGAAAUGGUGUAAAAACAGCAGGAUUCAGUGCAAGUGUAAACUCAG